UCCUAAAAAGAGAAAAAAAAAAAAAAGCAUAGCCUUUAAUAUUAUUUUAUUUUGAAAUAUUUCCAGCUCAUUCAUUUCUAAUCCGCCUCAUUCCAUGGAACAUACAAACAGAUCAUUUUCUAUGUUGCUCCUGUUUUAUGCAAUAGAACAUGUCAAUGAAACUCAGAGCUGGGAGAAAAGCUAAUGUCAGCAUGGCAGGGAAAGAAACACAGCUGAACAGGUUUACAACUAGACAUGUGGGGUUUGGUACCAAAGGAUUUAGAAGCAAGUAGGGGAGAGGCUAGAGGUUACAUUGUGAGAUUUGGAACUUUGUAAUAGAAUCCAGUUUUCCCAGAGUCUGGAAUGUCGCUCGUCGGACAUUUUAGGGUCUCCCUAGUAAAUAACAACUUCCUAGUUAUUAACAAAAAUUCAUUUUUUUUCUGUAUAAUUUUAUUUAUUUUUUUGGCUGUACCUGUGACAUGCAGAAGUUCCCUGGGCCAGGGCUCGAAUCCAAGGCACAGCAGUGACACUGCCAACCCCUUAACUGCGAGGCCAUCAAGGUUAAUGGCAACUCUCAUCAGACCACACAGUCUGUACUAUGUUUAAAACAAACAAAAUACGCACCCCCCUCUGUUUUCCUUAGGCAUCCUUUUAUGUACAUCCAUGUACAACAUAGCUCUUCAGGAGCCAUUGAUGGUUCAGUUCCCAGAUUCUCUGGUCUCCUUUAAUUUUCCCCUCCUCUUUUUUUCAUCUGCCUGAUUUUUUUAUUUCUUCAACUCUUUGGCUCUUUCCCACACACAGCUGAACAAGAGGAGGGAAAAUUGAUUCUAAUCUACUGACCGUGUUGCUGCUUUUCUACAAUUUGAAAAACCUGUGAUCCUGAGGAGUGAUUUUAGUUACACGUGUGACUUUUCUUGUCCUGUUACCACAGAAAAUCAAAUUAAUCUUUUAAAUUGCUACAACAUAGAAUUGAAAAUUCACCUUUACUCUGUGAAGGCUGAAUUUUUUUUAAAAAAAUGAAGUUUUAAAAAGAAGAAGAUUUUUUUUUUUCUUCAUGGUAGUUUGUGAUUUGCUUAAUUUCUUAAAGCUUCAUUUCCAUUUCUAUGAAUAUAAUAGAAAAUGUGCCAAAUAAUAAAACAAUUAUUGACUCUUUUUUUUCACUCUAAUCUAGGGAUGUUUCAGGGACUUACAUGUGCUUGAGCAGAGUCAGUUUCUCUCCUGUAUUCUUGAAUUGACACCACUGAGUGUUCUUUUGAGAGAAACACUCUCGAAGAAAGCCCCAGAAAAAGGCAUUCAGAAGUGAGUAUGAGGUCUCUUGAUGAGAGUAUACUUUCUGCAUACCUUUGUUAAAAGAAAGUAAACCACAGUAUAGCCUGAGACCCUCAGGGAAAGUUGAGUUCGUAAUUACUCCUUAAAGGUCAGUGAAAAGAAGGAAAAGCACUGGAAAGUUCUGAAAUGGAACUCUCGAUUACACUGGCCAAGAAAUGAAUCCCAGGCAGGCAAAAUGUGAAAUCUAAGAAAACAGGUUGGAUUUUUAAGCUUGAAAUAAAAGGUAAUGAGGUAGAUAGGGAAAAUGGAAAGGAAACCGCCAUCCCUGCAGAGUUGCUAAAAACCCAGAGGGCAACAGAGGAAGGCUGCUAAGGUCCACGUGGUCAUCUCCACUUUGUCCUGACUUCUGAAGACUUAAAGCCAGUCCAUGUUCAUGUCCAUUGAGAGCUAAAAACAAAACUGAUUUAACCAUCUUGGAUUUGCCAUUUUAUCUUUCUUAUGCCCAGUCUGUCACUUUCUACAUAGAUUAAAAACAGCCAACCACCUAAUUUGCUUUCUAUGAGGAUAGUGUCUAGAUGUGAGAAGAAUUUCUAAAAAAUCUAAAUAUAUAGGAAUGUGUGUACAUAUAUAUUUUUUUCCAACUGGGGGAAUGGAGAGGACAUUACCUAGAUAAGAGCUUGAACCUGUGAGUAAUUGGUCAAAUCCAUUUCACCUGCCAUCACUCUGCCAGGUCCUUUUAAGACUUGCAUGGGAUCCAAGCAGCACCUGAGCCUAAACAAUACGAUGCUUGCCUGAGAGUUUCCAGAAACUUGGAGUCAGCUGAGUCUAGUUCCAGCUGUGUGGUGAAGACUGGAUAGGACCACCAACCCUCCAAGUGCGCAUGCGUGCAUGUCCCCUCAGUGACCUUUUAAAUCCAUCCGCCCUGUAGUUACGCCUGCGCAGAAGGAUGAUUACACACCUUUUCCCAAUCACCUUUCCCCACACCCCCAUGCUCCCGACGCUGCAGACUACCCUCUGGCUUUACUCCGGCGUCUAUAAAUACGCCCAGCCCCUUACCGCUGUGGAGGCUGGCUUGAUUUUUGUUCGCGUUCUUCUUAGCUGGGCUGUCUUGCGAAGCAACUCUUUUCUUUUUUUUCUGCUGUAAAUCUCAGUGUCUUUUCAGCAUUCGAGCGGUUGUCUUUCAGUAAAGUGACUCUGGCAGGGGGUGGGGGCAAGUUUUCUAAAAGUGCAUCUUAACUAAGUAAAUUUUUUUGAGUGAUUUUUUUUGUUCACAGUUUUCAGAAGACUUGAGUUUUUGUAAUGUUAUGGUCAAGAAAGAACGCUCAAAAGUUAUUUAUAGUUAAGCAGUAGCUGCUUCUGUUAAAGAUUUUUUUUCUAUCUGUUGAAGUCAGAAUUGAGGGGAUGACCAUGACACAGCUGAAGCUAAGCUAGCUAACUUCAUGGAUCUUUAAUCCCUUCGAUAAUCUUUCUGACCACUAAGUUCUAACUUUCCUCUGUACUCUGUCCUUCCAUUCUCCGAACAGCCCAACAAAAGAUGAGGCCCGUUUUGUUGCAAAACAAUAAUGCCUCCGAAAGCCGGGAAGGGUUUUUCCUACCAACUUGACAGUGUAAGGGGCAGUGCUGUUUAAGUAUUAAGCUGUGAAAGUGGUGACGAUAGCUCAAGGAAGGCGUAGCGGCCAAAGUAAAUUUCAACUAAGGUCAUAUCAGAAAGUAUUUCCUAAAGUGGGAAGGUUUCCCCCAAGGAGCUAGAAAAAAAUCCAUUGACAGGACAAUUUGAAAGAAAGGAGCCAAAAUAUAAAGGAAGUGUAUUUUACCUUCACAGAAUUGGUGAUAUAGCUACCUUCAAUAACUUUUUGUGAUUUUAAAAAAGCUAAAUAUGUAUUCUAAAACAUCUCUUGGGGAGUUUAAAAUAGUUAAUUGAAAAAUUCUCUCUCCUAUUCGUGCUGGUGGGUUCCACCAGGGCUCUUCUUCCUCUUCCACACGUGUUGAUCUAUCUCCUACUUGUCUCUAAGGAAUCUUGAAUGCUAAAUUGGCUUAGUUACUCUUAGUGAAACUUGGUUUGUUCCACUUUAAAAUUUUAUUACCGUAAGAAUGAACUUGGACAUUAGCUAUCAGGUUUCCUUCAAGAUAACAUGGCAGUUAGUCAAUAAUGGCUUAAAUAACUCAACACUGGGUGGCACAAGACAGUGAUAAAAGUCUAAUACAUGUAACUACUUAAUCAAAUUUUAUCUAGAGGCCCAGGUAAUUUGUUAGGAUUCUGAAGCUCAUUAAGGCUUGAAAUAGCAACUUAAAAUGCUUAGAAAUACUCUAAAUCCGUACUAAAUCUCCACCCUACAGAAAUUUCAAUGUUGAUGAUUCUUGGUUGUGGGGCUGUCCUGGGCACUGCAGGCAGGAUAUUAGCAGCAUCCCGGCCCUCUACCUACCAGAUGCCAUGGCAACUGCCCUGGCCAAGUCAAAUCGAGGAAAAAUGUCUCCAGGUUAUGUGCAUCAUAGCAGCUCCUUUGCGGAACUAUAUUUCCACAAAAUCCUGUCUUUUAAAAAGACAAGAGGCCAUGUCUUCUCAUCCAGGACCCUUGUCAGAAUGCCCUAGGGAGCCAGGUGGAGAAAGACAAAUUUCAUUUUAGUCCAGGCUUCCGUCACAGAUGAAGGAACAAAUGCUCCCCUCUUCUCAGCAGCUCCACACCCACGCUACAAUGUUCAUCUUUAUUAUCAGGCCCAGGCUCCUUUCCUGAUUCCAACUUAAGAUCGCCUCUCUGCCAAAGGAUUCUUCGUCCCUUUAGUGAAUAGUCUCUGCCAUCCAGUUAACAACCCAAAUCCCAAAAGCCAACACCUGAAACUUAAAAUGGGGGCCUAUUUGAUAAAGAUAAAAAUAAGGGAAUUAGAAAAGAUUAAACUGACAAGGAUCUUUGUUUUUUUCUUUCCCCAUUUUGAAAAGUAGCCAGUAGGGUGAUUCACCACCCAGGACCCUUCUAGUCAGGUUAUUCCUUCUACUUCUUGCAUGUGCAGUAUUGAUUUAAAGCUGUCCCUGCUAACAACUGUUCUGACCCUCUCCAAGUGUACCUGAAAAGGACAUAGGUCCUAUUAUCAUUUCUCAAUAGAUUUAUUACCCCCUGGUUUACAGGUCUCGGGAGGGUAAAAGAGAGCCCACUGACUAGGAGACUGAGCCUAAACCCUCUCUGCCUGGAGAGAAGCCACUGACCACCACAGGCAGACAGAUGACAGCUGCCUUACAUUCAAAGUAAUUUUGAUCUGCUUCUAGAGAUCCAGAAAACUGCAAGCACAAAAGGUGUUUUUACAGCUCAGAUCAUCACAAGCCUAGUCUUAAUUGCUGAUUGAUUUUUCAAGAGUAAUUACUUUUUUUGUGUCACUUAGUAUUUUAUUCUUUGAAUACAUCACAUAUGUGUCUUAGUUUUCUGUGAAUUUUUUUUUCCCAAGGAUGCUCAUGAGCUUGUUUCAGGGAGUGAAAAAUCUCAAGCAUCAUUGCCUGUCUAAAUAUGACAGAUGGAAUUAGAGGAAAUGUAAAGAGUUGCAUGGUUCAGUGUUAACAAUAAAGAAUGUUUAAAGUGUACUGUAAAGAAACACAUUAUAGGAAUGGCCAGAAAGCAAAUAUUUCAACACUGUUACUUCAAAUAAUUGUUAUUUUGGAAAAUUUCAAAGGAAGUUUAAUUUUACUACAGUUAGGCUGCCUUUCAUUUCUCAAUAGCAUGUGUUCUGCAGGAGUUAAUGACAAAACACCCAGGGAGCUAAGCCAAAAUCACAUUUGCAAUUCAAAAAAUAUAAAUCAUCUCUAUGAAGUGGCUUCCAAGCCAAUGUUCAGAUCAUGUAAAGCUCUAUCUUCACUCUGGGUCAAUUUAGAUUUGUGGGUUAGUUAUUACUGACAAUGUCUUUGCUGUUAUGAAACACAUACAUACAGUAGUGUGCAGUUCAAGAAAACUUCCCUAAAAAUAGAGAUGUUAUUUAAAAAGGAUAAAAUACUGUUUUGCAGUAAAUAGGGGGGAUAGAAUUACUAGUUAGGAAAAUUAUGCCUUACAUGGUAUAUUCUGUUUCACAUCCUGAAGAUAAGAGGAAUGACAGUUAUAAAUAUGUGAAAAGUGAUGUAUCUAGCAUUUUUAGCUUUUGAUAUCCUGAUGGAUAAAAAGGUACUAGAAGUCUUGAGCCAAAAUUGGCAGAGAAUCAGAAAAUAUGUUAAUACUUAACCUUCCCCCUAGGGUAUGUACUAUAUGUGGCUAUAUUAUAUUUAGCUACACACAUCAAUACCAUUAUCUUUAUGACAUAGACAAUGGUUUUCUACUUUCACAUAUAUUCCAUCAUUUGGUUCAUGUGAGACAAGUAGUAUUUCUUCAUUUCUUGGAUGAGGAAGUUGAAUAAGCCCAGCAUACUAUUUGCUAGAAGAUGAGGCUGCAGCAGGGACAUGGAAGACACAUUCCUAUUCUGCAAGAUGUGCCCAUCAGCUGGGUACCAUCUAGAGUUUGAGAGAGAACAGAGGGACCUAUGCAUCCCCUCUUUGUAAGAAGUCUCUUCUCUGCUUCCCUCUCCAAGACCUAUACUUUAUAGUAAUACAACUCAGAGGGCAAUCAUAUAGAAGAAAUUCUCAUUCAUAGCACCUGAGAUAUAAAAACCAGGUUACUUUUCCAAACCCAUACAUGUUAGAAUUCUUAAUCCUACAAAUCUCCUGUUGAGUGGCCGUAUUAAAAUUCAGUUACUAUAUACACAUCAACCUUUUUCUUCCUUACACCCCUUCAUCUACCUCUCCAGGGCCAACUAUGUCUGCUAAGUAGGUACAAUCCCACAGGAAAGUUACACACCAUGAAUAGGGCGGAGUUUUUCCUCUAUGCCCUUGUAACAGCUAGCAACAAGAGUGGUAGCUUAGAGAAGACCCCAGGGGCAAGUAGAUACAGUGACAGAAUGGCUGAUUGUGACCCAAGAGUUUUGCUUUUAGCUUAACAAGUUCCCAGGAAUUCUGGAGGUCAAAUUUCUGUACCUUGAGGUGGCCCAAUACCAUGACGUUAACAAAAUAAGCAUAAAUUUAAACAAAAAGUCAUCCAAGCCGUUUGACCUUCUAUUUCCAUUGCAUUAAAAAAUCCCACUUAACUUUUAUAAAGGCUCAAUUAUUAUUCAUGAAACGUUGUUUUUGUCUACAUUCCUUAAGGUCUUUAUGAUUGGAGAUCAUGUGCAUAAUGUCAACCACUCUGAAUGGUUCCUCAUGGAAGAGUCUUUUGCCCCUUAAUCAGCUGUGGUUCACUGUUAGUCAAGGUGUUGCCAUCUUCUCAAAGAAAUUAUUUUAUUAUUCCAAGCACUUUUUGGCUUCAAAUCAAGUGUUAAGUAUUGAAUUCUGUCUCCCUCCUUCUAAAAAUAUUGGAGUCCUAACUCCCAAUACCUCAGGAUGUGGCCUUAUUUGGGGACAGUGUCUUUACACAGGUAAUCAACUUAAAAUGAUGCCACUGGGAUGGGCCCUGAGCCCAUGACUGGUGUCUUUAUAAAAAAGGGGGAAGUUGGACACAAAGCCAGACAUGCAAAUACAGAGGAGGAUAUGAAAAGGCACAGGGAGAAAAUGACUGUCUACAAGCCAAGAAGAGAAACCUGGAGCAGACCAUCCCUCAGAGCCUUCCAGAAAGGACCAAAAGGACCAGUCCCUGCCAACACCUUGAUAUUUGUACUGCUAGCCUCUAGAACUGUGAGAAAAUACAGUUCAGUUGUUUAAGCCACCCAGUUUGGGCUCUUUGAAGAACAGCCCUAACAAACUAAACACAAGUAUCUCAAAACCCUUGGGGUCCCACAAAGCGUGUCCUCUAAGGUGGUGGUUCUCACUUUUGACAUACUGGUGUGUGACAGUGGUUUGUGAGUUUAUUCUAUACCAUUACUCUAAUAGUAGUUCAAGUGAUGAAAUAUUUUCUUGUCUUAGUUAUAUGAAUUGGUUAAAAUCAUCCCAUUUAAAUUCUGAUAUGCUUCCUUGAAUGUCAAAGAAAUAGCAUAUGUGACUGUCAUCUGCCCUGUGAGCAUAGAGAAAAAUUGCCACUGGUAUCCAUAAGACCAACCUUCACACUGUAAAUUCGUCA